rnacentral:rRNA from 1 species
CCUGGCUCAGGACGAACGCUGGCGGCGUGCCUAACACAUGCAAGUCGAGCGGAGGCAGCGGAAGAGCAAUCUGAGGCUGUCUGAGCGGCGGACGGGUGAGUAACGCGUGAGCAACCUGCCUUUCACAGGGGGAUAACGCAGCGAAAGCUGCACUAAUACCGCAUGAGACCACAGUACUGAUGGUACAGGGGUCAAAGGAGAGAUCCGGUGAGAGAUGAGCUCGCGUCCGAUUAGGUAGUUGGUGAGGUAACGGCCCACCAAGCCAAUGAUCGGUAGCCGGCCUGAGAGGGUGAACGGCCACAUUGGAACUGAGAGACGGUCCAAACUCCUACGGGAGGCAGCAGUGGGGAAUAUUGGGCAAUGGGGGAAACCCUGACCCAGCAACGCCGCGUGAGGGAAGAAGGUUUUCGGAUUGUAAACCUCUGUUCUUGGAGAAGAGAAGGAGACGGUAUCCAAGGAGGAAGCCCCGGCUAACUACGUGCCAGCAGCCGCGGUAAUACGUAGGGGGCGAGCGUUGUCCGGAAUGAUUGGGCGUAAAGGGCGCGUAGGCGGCCGAGCAAGUCAGUAGUGGAAGUCCAAUUUUCAAGGUUGGAAGUGCUAUUGAAACUGCAGGGCUUGAGUGCAGGAGAGGUUAUCGGAAUUCCCGGUGUAGCGGUGAAAUGCGUAGAGAUCGGGAGGAACACCAGUGGCGAAGGCGGGUAACUGGACUGCAACUGACGCUGAGGCGCGAAAGUGUGGGGAGCAAACAGGAUUAGAUACCCUGGUAGUCCACACUGUAAACGAUGAAUGCUAGGUGUAGGGGGUAUCGACCCCUUCUGUGCCGAAGUAAACACAAUAAGCAUUCCGCCUGGGGAGUACGGUCGCAAGAUUAAAACUCAAAGGAAUUGACG